AUCGCAUUCGUUCAUCCAGCGCGAUUCGAUACUUUCGGUCCAGAUGCGCAUCGAGCAACUGCUCGCCACGCUCCCACCUUCGCUGGACACGAAUUGCAGCGCAUAGUUCGGCGAUUCAUUCGCCGAUGUGUUC
rnacentral:tRNA from 1 species